rnacentral:rRNA from 1 species
GACUGGAAACGGUCGCUAAUACCUCAUAUGCCUAUGGGUGAAAAGUUUUAUCGCCUGAAGAUGAACUCGCGUCAGAUUAGCUAGUUGGUGGGGUAAGGGCCUACCAAGGCGACGAUCUGUAGCUGGUCUGAGAGGAUGAUCAGCCACACUGGGACUGAGACACGGCCCAGACUCCUACGGGAGGCAGCAGUGGGGAAUUUUCCGCAAUGGGCGAAAGCCUGACGGAGCAAGACCGCGUGGGGGAUGAAGGUCUAAUGAUUGUAAACCUCUUUUCUCUAGGAAGAUGAUGACGGUACUAGAGGAAUCAGCCUCGGCUAACUCCGUGCCAGCAGCCGCGGUAAUACGGAGGAGGCAAGCGUUAUCCGGAAUUAUUGGGCGUAAAGCGUCCGUAGGUGGUUUUUCAAGUCUGCUGUCAAAGCGUGGGGCUUAACCCCAUAGAGGCAGUGGAAACUGAGAGACUAGAGUGCGGUAGGGGUCGAGGGAAUUCCCAGUGUAGCGGUGAAAUGCGUAGAUAUUGGGAAGAACACCAGUGGCGAAAGCGCUCGACUGGGCCUGCACUGACACUGAGGGACGAAGCACGAUU